rnacentral:rRNA from 1 species
AUUGAACGCUGGCGGCAGGCCUAACACAUGCAAGUCGAACGGUAACAGGAAGCAGCUUGCUGCUUUGCUGACGAGUGGCGGACGGGUGAGGAAUGUCUGGGAAACUGCCUGAUGGAGGGGGAUAACUACUGGAAACGGUAGCUAAUACCGCAUAACGUCGCAAGACCAAAGAGGGGGACCUUAGGGCCUCUUUCCAUCGGAUGUGCCCAGAUGGGAUUAGCUAGUAGGUGGGGUAACGGCUCACCUAGGCGACGAUCCCUAGCUGGUUUGAGAGGAUGAACGGCCACACUGGAACUGAGACACGGUCCAGACUCCUACGGGAGGCAGCAGUGGGGAAUAUUGCACAAUGGGCGCAAGCCUGAUGCAGCCAUGCCGCGUGUAUGAAGAAGGCCUUCGGGUUGUAAAGUACUUUCAGCGGGGAGGAAGGGAGUAAAGUUAAUACCUGUGCUCAUUGACGUUACCCGCAGAAGAAGCACCGGCUAACUCCGUG